GGAAUUACUUACGUAACAGAGAAAAUCCUAUAUUAACUUCUCUACGUGGAUAGAGUAUAGCAUUAAUUUCGUGUAUA